CAUAAAUCUGCCCAUAAGGCCUCUCACCGGGUCGAGCUCGGCGGCGACGGCGCGGGGAUGGCGGACCCGAGGAUGGCACCCGUCACGCGGUGGAUGGAGGCCAGCCCUGGAUGUACUCGUCUGGCAGGUCCUGUCCUUCUGGCCUCUCGGUUCCCACGACACUCAGUCUCAACGACCUGCACCUUCCCGCGCCUGGGCCCGAAGUGAGCAAAGUCAAUGAAAAGUUUCACCCUCAGCAACCCUGCGCAUGAAUCUGCU
rnacentral:lncRNA from 1 species